GGAGUUGUGGCUCAGUGAUAGAGCACUUGCUUGGCAAACAUGAGGCCCUGGGUUUGAUCCUCAGCACCA
rnacentral:tRNA from 1 species